GCCAUAGCUCAGUGGCAGAGUACUGUACUAGAUUUCCAUGCAGAUGGUCCCAGGUUCCAUCCCUGACAUCUACA